GCUUUUAUCACUUUUUUCGUAGAGCAGGGGAUUGAAAAUCCCCGUGUCCUUGGUUCGAUUCCGAGUCCGGGCACCA
rnacentral:tRNA from 1 species